AAAAAAAACAGACCGAAAUUAUCUGAGCUCGAGUAAAUACGGUAUAAACCAUUCAGUGUUUAUAUAUUUACGAAUGUGACUAAUAUAUAGUUCUCUUUUAUUUUAGCAUUGGAACACAGCGAAUACUUUGUUUGAAGUUAUAUCCGAAUUAUAUAAAAGAAUUUGUUCCCCGAGGUAAGUAACAUGGUAUUAAGCUCAAGCAUUCAAAUCGAUCACUGUGAAUUGAUAAAUAUACAUAGGUCUUUUUCAUUAUAAUACACUCUGUAAUGAUAGAAUAAUGCGUCCUUUAUGCAUUUCUGAUCUCUAAAUUUAAUGUGUUAGAAAUAUCUGUUAUAUACGUUUGAAAUAUCUCCUUUGUGGAAUAUAAAUUGUUAAAUAUAUACAACGCAAUAGGGGAAAUCCCUUGCAUAUUUUAAAUCCUUGUAUAUUUUUUAAGUCUCGCAAAUGCGACAGGAGACGGGCAAACGUGCAUGGCAAUGAUCUUCAUCGUUUUCUACAACGAGAAUCAAAUGCAACUAGCAUUUCUUUGUGGCGUAACACUUGUGAUGCUCAAACAGACCGCUGGCUGUGGUCUGCGCAAACUUUCUUUCAGUACACGCGUAAAAACGCUCAGGUUGAUGCAAUACUGAUGAAAACAGGAUUGAACAAUGUUUUGCUGCCCACAUUGUUCAUAGCUGUCAACAAUAUUGAACAACGUUGUUACACCCGAUUCAGACUCAACAACAUUGUUCAAUAUUGUUGACAGCUAUGAACAACGUGGGCAGCAAAACCUUGUUCAGUCCUGUUGAGCAACCGGCUGGGCUGGGCGUUUUUUGCGGUGUAUGGUGUAACACUUGUUGGGUAACACCUAAAAACAAACAAAAAUAAACAAUCAAAACAAAUAUGAAAAAUUUCUUAUUUCGCAGCCAAUAAAUUACUGCUGUGGGAGUUUGAACAUGCCUGCAUGUUUUUCAAAUGGGCUUUUAGACUAAAAGUCCAUUGCAUUAUUAAGUCCACUACACUGAUUAGCUUUAUUAACAGAUUUAAUAACAUCUGUCAAAAAAUAUUAAAAAACAAAAAAAACAGGAAAGUCAACAAAAUAUUAAAGGUGAAUUGACACAUUAUUUCGUGCAGUUUUGUGCCCCCAAAUAUUGACCAAUCAAAACGCGACGUUGUUUAUUAUAUACGGUGGCCCAGAAGUGCAAAACACAAAACAAACAAAGCAAGCAAAGCA